UGAAGAAAAGUUGAAAAGUACUUUGAAGAGUUAACGAGUACGUGAAACCGUUCAGAGGUAAACCUAAGAAACCCAAAAAAUCGAACGGGGAGAUUCAUCGUCAACGAAACUGGCUUCGCGUCGGUGGGCGAUAACCCCGCGGUGUGUCCUAAGCGGCACGCGCGUGCGGGCACGUNNCCGAACGCCGAUGUCCGGUUUUCGUCGUCGUGCACUUCUCUCCUAGUAGAACGUCGCGACUCGCUGUGUGUCGGUCACCGACCCGGGUGCGGUUACUGUCACGUCGCCCGUAAAAACGGCGCGCGGCAAACACCCCCGGUCGCCCGACCAGCUGCCCGGCGGUACACGUACGUAUCAGGCCGCACCAACGG
rnacentral:rRNA from 1 species